UACACUCCUGCGGGAGGCAGCAGUGGGGAAUAUUGCACAAUGGGCGCAAGCCUGAUGCAGCCAUGCCGCGUGUAUGAAGAAGGCCUUCGGGUUGUAAAGUACUUUCAGCGGGGAGGAAGGCGAUAAGGUUAAUAACCUUGUCGAUUGACGUUACCCGCAGAAGAAGCACCGGCUAACUCCGUGCCAGCAGCCGCGGUAAUACGGAGGGUGCAAGCGUUAAUCGGAAUUACUGGGCGUAAAGCGCACGCAGGCGGUCUGUCAAGUCGGAUGUGAAAUCCCCAGGCUCAACCUGGGAACUGCAUUCGAAACUGGCAGGCUAGAGUCUUGUAGAGGGGGGUAGAAUUCCAGGUGUAGCGGUGAAAUGCGUAGAGAUCUGGAGGAAUACCGGUGGCGAAGGCGGCCCCCUGGACAAAGACUGACGCUCAGGUGCGAAAGCGUGGGGAGCAAACAGGAUUAGAAACCCGUGUAGUCC
rnacentral:rRNA from 1 species